rnacentral:rRNA from 3 species
GACGAACGCUGGCGGCGUGCCUAAUACAUGCAAGUGGAACGCUGAAGAGAGGAGCUUGCUCUUCUUGGAUGAGUUGCGAACGGGUGAGUAACGCGUAGGUAACCUGCCUGGUAGCGGGGGAUAACUAUUGGAAACGAUAGCUAAUACCGCAUGAAAUGGAUUAUCGCAUGAUAAUCGAUUGAAAGGUGCAAAUGCAUCACUACCAGAUGGACCUGCGUUGUAUUAGCUAGUUGGUGAGGUAACGGCUCACCAAGGCAACGAUACAUAGCCGACCUGAGAGGGUGAUCGGCCACACUGGGGCUGAGACACGGCCCAGACUCCUACGGGAGGCAGCAGUAGGGAAUCUUCGGCAAUGGACGGAAGUCUGACCGAGCAACGCCGCGUGAGUGAAGAAGGUUUUCGGAUCGUAAAGCUCUGUUGUAAGAGAAGAACGAGUGUGAGAGUGGAAAGUUCACACUGUGACGGUAUCUUACCAGAAAGGGACGGCUAACUACGUGCCAGCAGCCGCGGUAAUACGUAGGUCCCGAGCGUUGUCCGGAUUUAUUGGGCGUAAAGCGAGCGCAGGCGGUUAGAUAAGUCUGAAGUUAAAGGCUGUGGCUUAACCAUAGUACGCUUUGGAAACUGUUUAACUUGAGUGCAAGAGGGGAGAGUGGAAUUCCAUGUGUAGCGGUGAAAUGCGUAGAUAUAUGGAGGAACACCGGUGGCGAAAGCGGCUCUCUGGCUUGCAACUGACGCUGAGGCUCGAAAGCGUGGGGAGCAAACAGGAUUAGGUACCCUGGUAGUCCACGCCGUAAACGAUGAGUGCUAGGUGUUAGACCCUUUCCGGGGUUUAGUGCCGCAGCUAACGCAUUAAGCACUCCGCCUGGGGAGUACGACCGCAAGGUUGAAACUCAAAGGAAUAGACGGGGGCCCGCACAAGCGGUGGAGCAUGUGGUUUAAUUCGAAGCAACGCGAAGAACCUACCAGGUCUUGACAUCCCUCUGACCGCUCUAGAGAUAGAGUUUUCCCUCGGGACAGAGGUGACAGGGUGGUGCAUGGGUUGUCGUCAGCUCGUGUCGUGAGAUGUCGGGGUUAGGUCCGCCACGAGCGCACCCCUAUUGUUGUUGCCAUCAUUAGUUGGGCACCCUAGCGGACUGCCGGUAUUUACCCGAAGGAGGGUGGGGAUUACGUCAAGUUACUAUGCCCCCUAUGAUCGGGGCUACACGAGUCCUACAU